rnacentral:RNase_P_RNA from 1 species
GAGUCGGCUUGGCAAUUGCGUACUGCUUUGCAGUAUGAGGAAAGUCCGAGCAGCACAGAGCAGGAUAACGGCUAACGGCCGCCGAGGGUGACCUUAGGGAAAGUGCAACAGAAAUAUACCGCCUCUAUGAGGUAAGGGUGGAAAGGCGAGGUAAGAGCUCACCGAGGAAGUGGAGACAUUUCCUGCCAUGUAAACCCUAUCCGCUGCAACAUCGACUAAAGGGUUGUUUGCUCGACACAUAACUUUGAAGGAUGGCUGGAGCGCAGGAGCAAUUCUGCGUCGAGAUAGAUAAUUGCCCACGACAGAACUCGGCUUACUGCCGGCUC